GCUCUGUGAUGAAGCCCAUGCAUGUCAUCUGAUCCUGGCUUUUCUCUUUCAGCUCAGGGAGUGUUCCAAUCUUGUAUUCUCCCUUGGUCUAAAUUUAUUAUUUCCUAUGCCAACCACUAUUAUCAGCAGUAAUAUCAACAGUGAAAGC
rnacentral:snoRNA from 1 species